AACGAACGCUGGCGGCAUGCCUAACACAUGCAAGUCGAACGAGACCUUCGGGUCUAGUGGCGCACGGGUGCGUAACGCGUGGGAACCUGCCCUUAGGUUCGGAAUAACUCCCCGUAAGGUGUGCUAAUACCGGAUAAUGUCUUCGCACCAAAGAUUUAUCGCCUUUGGAUGGGCCCGCGUUGGAUUAGCUGGUUGGUAGGGUAAAAGCCUACCAAGGCGACGAUCCAUAGCUGGUCUGAGAGGAUGAUCAGCCACACUGGGAAUGAGACACGGCCCAGUAUCGUACGGGAGGCAGCAGUGGGGAAUAUUGGACGAUGGGCGAAAGCCCAAUCAAGCAAUGCCGCGUGAGUGAUGAAGGCCUUAGGGUUGUAAAGCUCUUUUACCCGGGAUGAUAAUGACAGUACCGGGAGAAUAAGCACCGGCUAACUCCGUG
rnacentral:rRNA from 1 species